CCUACGGGGGGCUGCAGUGAGGAAUAUUGGUCAAUGGACGAGAGUCUGAACCAGCCAAGUAGCGUGAAGGAUGACUGCCCUAUGGGUUGUAAACUUCUUUUAUAUGGGAAUAAAAUGUUCCACGUGUGGGAUUUUGUAUGUACCCUAUGAAUAAGGAUCGGCUAACUCCGUGCCAGCAGCCGCGGUAAUACGGAGAAUCCGAGCGUUAUCCGGAUUUAUUGGGUUUAAAGGGAGCGUAGGUGGAUUGUUAAGUCAGUUGUGAAAGUUUGCGGCUCAACCGUAAAAUUGCAGUUGAAACUGGCAGUCGUGAGUACAGUAGAGGUGGGCGGAAUUCGUGGUGUAGCGGUGAAAUGCUUAGAUAUCACGAAGAACUCCGAUUGCGAAGGCAGCUCACUGGACUGCAACUGACACUGAGGCUCGAAAGUGUGGGUAUCAAACAGGAUUAGAUACCCCUGUAGUC
rnacentral:rRNA from 1 species